GACAGAGGAUGCAAGCAUUAUCCGGAAUGAUUGGGCAUAAAGCGUCUGUAGGUGGCUUUUCAAGUCCACCGUCAAAUCCCAGGGCUCAACCCUGGAUAGGCGGUGGAAACUACUAAGCUGGAGUACGGUAGGGGCAGAGGAAAUUUCCAGUGGAGCGGUGAAAUGCGUAGAGAUCGGAAAGAACACCAAUGGCGAAAGCACUCUGCUGGGCCGACACUGACACUGAGAGAUGAAAGCUAGGGGAGCAAAUGGG
rnacentral:rRNA from 1 species